rnacentral:tRNA from 1 species
UCACUCGUCCAUUCCGGGGGAGAUAUAAGUAUUUGUACCGCGUAGUACGGAGGUUCGAAUCCCACGCGAGGCGU